UUCUCGUUAGAUCACCGAAGUCAAGCAUCGUUGGGCGCGGUCAGUACUUGGGUGGGUGACCACCUGGGAACACUGCGUGCCGUU